UGCAAACGAAGUCGAAAGACUUUUUUAAACCAUUGUGAACCUUACCUGUCCGUUAAAGUUGCUUCGGCGGCCGGCCCCUGGGAGGGGCCGCCGUGGCCCGCCUGAGGGGCGGCCGCCGGGCGGCGAACCAACCGAAACCAUUGCGUAUCAGUUAGUUACAUCUGAGUCUAUUACUAUAAAACGUAAUUAAAACUUUCAACAAUGGAUCUCUUGGCUCUGGCAUCGAUGAAGAACGCAGCGAAAUGCGAUAAGUAAUGCGAAUUGCAGAAUUCAGUGAAUCAUCGAAUCUUUGAACGCACAUUGCGCCCGCCAGCACUCUGGCGGGCAUGCCUGUCCGAGCGUCAUUUCAACCCUCGGGUCCAGCGCCUUCACGGGCCUGGAACCGGUGUUGGGACGCUGCGAUGCCCCCUAAUACGGGGCGCCGCAGCCCCCUAAAGAAAUCGGCGGACCCGCUGAGGCACCCGAGCGCAGUAGUACCACUUCUCGCUCAGGGCCGCUCCGGCGGGCCAUCCGGCCGCUAAACCUCAACGCCCGCCCCUCCGGCUGGCCGCGAACUCGAAAUUUUGACCUCGGAUCAGGUAGGAAUACCCGCUGAACUUAAGCAUAUCAAUAAGCGG
rnacentral:rRNA from 1 species